GUGCUCACUUUGGCAGCACAUGUACUAAAAUUGGAACCAUACAGAGAAGAUUAGCAUGGCCUCUGUGCAAGGAUGACAUGCAAAUUCGUGAAGACUUCCAUAUUUUU
rnacentral:snRNA from 1 species